rnacentral:rRNA from 1 species
UCAAAAGGAAUUGACGGGGGCCCGCACAAGCGGUGGAUUAUGUGGAUUAAUUCGAUGCAACGCGAAAAACCUUACCUGGCCUUGACAUGUACCGAAUUUAGCAGAGAUGCUUUAGUGCUCGUAAGAGAACGGUAACACAGGUGCUGCAUGGCUGUCGUCAGCUCGUGUCGUGAGAUGUUGGGUUAAGUCCCGCAACGAGCGCAACCCUUGCCAUUAAUUGCCAUCAUUUAGUUGGGCACUUUAAUGGGACUGCCGGUGACAAACCGGAGGAAGGUGGGGAUGACGUCAAGUCCUCAUGGCCCUUAUGGCCAGGGCUUCACACGUAAUACAAUGGACGGUACAGAGGGACGCCAACCCGCGAGGGGGAGCCAAUCCCAGAAAGCCGUUCGUAGUCCGGAUUGUUGUCUGCAACUCGACAACAUGAAGUCGGAAUCGCUAGUAAUCGCGGAUCAGAAUGUCGCGGUGAAUACGUUCCCGGGCCUUGUACACACCGCCCGUCACACCAUGGGAGUGGGUUUUACCAGAAGUAGUUAGUCUGACCGCAAGGGGGACGAUUACCACGGUAGGAUUCAUGACUGGGGUG